rnacentral:rRNA from 1 species
UACAGGGGAUGCAAGCGUUAUCCGGAAUGAUUGGGCGUAAAGCGUCUGCAGGUGGUUUAAAAAGUCUAGUGUCAAAGCCCAAGGCUUAACCUUGGAUCGGCAAUGGAAACUUUUAGACUGGAGUGCGGUUGAGGUAGAUGGAAUUACCGGUGUAACGGUGAAAUGUGCAGAUAUCGGUAAGAACACCAACGGCGAAAGCAAUCUACUGGGCCAAAACUGACACUGAGAGACGAAAGCUAGGGGAGCGAAUAGG